AGCGGCCUCCCGCGGUCUACUCCGUACAUGGGCUCCGUGGCCUAGCGCCCCCGUCCCCGUCCCCGCCACCCAUGAUCGUGCGCCGAGGCCCGGAGGCGUCGCCGCCCAGGUCCCACCAGCCCGCAAACCAGAGCUUGGCGGCCAUCCCCUCCAGCAGCUCGCUCGUGGCCACCCACGACUACUACCGGCGCCGCCUGGGUUCCACUUCCAGCAACAGCUCCUGCCGUAGUACCGAGUGCGCCGCGGAGGCCAUUCCCCACCCCCCGGGUAUCCCCAAGGCUGACCCGGGUCACUGGUGGGCCAGCUUCCUUUUCGGGAAGUCCACUCUCCUGUUCACUGCCACGGUGCUGGAGCCUGCAGAGCACCCGGAACCCCGAGGGCUCCCGCAGCGUGAACACCUGUGACCUGGCUCAGCACGCCCCGAGGAAGCAGCCUGGUGGUCAGCCCAGCACAGGCAGUGCUGGGCCGCCGUCCUGACCUGAGCGAUGACCACCAGCUCCAGGACUGCGGAGGCGCUAGGCCACCAGAGCC